rnacentral:lncRNA from 1 species
AUGCCCGGCGUGCUGGGAGGGAUGGUCACGGCUUCCUGCAGCGCCCCGAGCCCUCACGCCCUGUGCGGCCCAACACGCGUGCCUGUCACCCGCAGUCGUGCACCCGCGCCAUCCCACCGACAUCCCGGGCUUACAAUCAAAGGUGGCCAGGAUUUCAGAACCGAAAAUCAAAAUGUGGUCGGUGGAGAAGGCGGGAAGGACGCCCUGGGCCACGGCACGUGGCCCCCUGCGAUUGUGCAGUGCACGACCUGCCCCGUGGUGGGAGCAGCCCGGAAACCCGGCGGGACCCACGCCCCCGGGACGGUGGCCGUGCAGGGAGGUUUCCGGACCAACCUGCGGGUCGCCUUGGAUACGAACCCCUCCCCCAGGACAGGGCGGGGCAGCUGGCCCCACCGGAAGACCCCCUCUCUGCUGCCCUGCGUGCCCCUUCGCAGAGCCCCCCCGCCGCGCAGCCCCAGCCCUGCACCCAGUGGACUCCCACUCACAGCUGGCGCUGGGGGGGCACCUGUGGCUUGGCAGGGCCUGGUGCUGAGGGGCGAAGGCGCAGACAUCCGCUGCCGUCCUCCACUUCUGGGCUCAUCUCCAGCUCCUGGCUCCCGCGGUGACAGCCCGCCUCCCACAGCUCUGAGAACAGAGCCAGGCUGUGCUCACGUGUCCCCGCCGGGACCACACGGCGGGCGGGCGGGCGGGCGGGCGGGGAGGGGGGCAGUGGGGAGAGCGAAGCCGCCGUCCCACGCCACCAGGCCACAGGCUCUGUCUGUGCCCAAACCUGCCAUUAGGGAGGCUCGAGGCGGCCAGCCCAGCCCGCCCCGUCACCGAGCUCAUCCCAGACCAGCCCCUGGGGUGGCGGCCGCGGGGCAGGGCCACGGCGGCAGGCUCCAGAUGGCCCGAGGUUACCAGGGUUCACUCCGCACCAGAAACCAUGCCCCAGGUGGCCUUCCCGGGCCCGGGGAAGAAGGAGAUCCCGGGGAACUGAGCCUCGGGCAGGGCGCGCACCUCUGCCCAUGUGGUCUGGUUCCUGAGGCCAUGCUUGGGGGGGGGGUGCGCAGGGAGAAAAGCUGCAAAGGGUUUGCUGGCUCUGACGCUGGGGAGGGGCUGGAGCAGCGCUUGGGGUCCCCGAGGGCUCAGGGGGCGGUCGCUCGGGCCCAAGGAGGUGGGAGAGAGGCCGCCCCCGAGUGUGGAGGUUGGCUCCUGGUGGACAUUGCUGGGCUGGUCCUGGGCCCUGUAUCUGCCCGGGGCCAACCUCCCGGAUCACUGAGACUAUUUCCUGGUCUGCAAACAGGGCAAAUGGCUUGA